CAGCAGCCGCGGUAAUACGAAGGGGGCUAGCGUUGUUCGGAUUUACUGGGCGUAAAGCGCACGUAGGCGGACUUUUAAGUCAGGGGUGAAAUCCCGGGGCUCAACCCCGGAACUGCCUUUGAUACUGGGAGUCUUGAGUUCGAGAGAGGUGAGUGGAAUUGCGAGUGUAGAGGUGAAAUUCGUAGAUAUUCGCAGGAACACCAGUGGCGAAGGCGGCUCACUGGCUCGAUACUGACGCUGAGGUGCGAAAGCGUGGGGAGCAAACAGGAUUAGAUACCCGCGUAGUCCCUGUCUCUUAUAC
rnacentral:rRNA from 1 species